UAGCGGAGGAAAAGAAACCAACAGGGAUUGCCUCAGUAACGGCGAGUGAAGCGGCAAAAGCUCAAAUUUGAAAUCUAGCACCUUCGGUGUUCGAGUUGUAAUUUGAAGAUGGUAACCUUGGGUUUGGCUCUUGUCUAUGUUCCUUGGAACAGGACGUCAUAGAGGGUGAGAAUCCCGUCUGAUGAGAUGCCCAUUCCUAUGUAAGGUGCUAUCGAAGAGUCGAGUUGUUUGGGAAUGCAGCUCUAAGUGGGUGGUAAAUUCCAUCUAAAGCUAAAUAUUGGCGAGAGACCGAUAGCGAACAAGUACAGUGAUGGAAAGAUGAAAAGAACUUUGAAAAGAGAGUGAAAAAGUACGUGAAAUUGUUGAAAGGGAAGGGCAUUAGAUCAGACUUGGUGUUUUACGAUUAUCUUCUCUUCUUGAGUUGUGCACUCGUAUUUCACUGGGCCAGCAUCGAUUCGGAUGGCAAGAUAAUGGCAGUUGAAUGUGGCUUCACUUCGGUGGAGUGUUAUAGCUUCUGCUGAUAUUGCCUGUCUGGAUCGAGGGCUGCGUCUUUUGACUAGGAUGCUGGCGUAAUGAUCUAAUGCCGCCCGU
rnacentral:rRNA from 1 species